rnacentral:rRNA from 1 species
AAGACCUUCAAUCAGGUGGGAUUACCCGCUGAACUUAAGCAUAUCAAUAAGCGGAGGAAAAGAAACUAACAAGGAUUCCCCUAGUAACGGCGAGUGAAGAGGGAAAAGCCCAAAUUUGUAAUCUGGCUCUUUUAGAGUCCGAGUUGUAAUUUUGAGAACUGUUUUCAGUGCUGGACCAUGUUUAAGUCUGUUGAAAAACAGCAUCAUUGAGGGUGAUAAUCCCGUUCAUGAUAUGGACUACCAGUACUUUAUGAUACAGUCUCUAAGAGUCGAGUUGUUUGGGAAUGCAGCUCAAAGUGGGUGGUAAAUUCCAUCUAAGGCUAAAUAUAGGUGAGAGACCGAUAGCAAACAAGUACCGUGAGGGAAAGAUGAAAAGAACUUUGGAAAGAGAGUUAACAGUACGUGAAAUUGCUGAAAGGGAAACAAUUGAAGUUAGCCUUGUUAUUGUCAGUUCAGCUCUUUUAGAGUGUAUUCUGAUGAUUAACGACCAACAUCAGUCUUUGAGUGCUGGAUAAGGGUUUUGGAAAUGUAGCAGUCUCGGCUGUGUUAUAGUCCAUUACUUUGAUACAGUGCUUGGGAUUGAGGAUCGCAGUAAGCCAUUUUAUGGUGGACCAAAUUUUUGGUCUUCUUACUGAGGAUGUUGGUGAAAUAGCUUAAAAA